AGAACGAACGCUGGCGGCAUGCCUAAUACAUGCAAGUCGAACGAACUCUUCGGAGUUAGUGGCGCACGGGUGCGUAACGCGUGGGAAUCUGCCCCUUGGUUCGGAAUAACAGUUGGAAACGACUGCUAAUACCGGAUGAUGACGAAAGUCCAAAGAUUUAUCGCCAAGGGAUGAGCCCGCGUAGGAUUAGCUAGUUGGUGAGGUAAAGGCUCACCAAGGCAACGAUCCUUAGCUGGUCUGAGAGGAUGAUCAGCCACACUGGGACUGAGACACGGCCAGACU
rnacentral:rRNA from 1 species